rfam:Peptococcaceae bacterium CEB3 CEB3_contig000036, whole genome shotgun sequence.
GCGCUCGUGGCUCAGCUGGAUAGAGCGUCUGACUACGAAUCAGAAGGUCGGGGGUUCGAAUCCCUCCGAGCGCA